rnacentral:lncRNA from 1 species
AGAGAGAAUAGAUUGUAAAUGUUUCUCAUCAGACUUAAAGAGUCUGUUCUCUCAGUCUUUAAGGGGUGUGUUGAUGUUACUGCUGGUCAGCUGGGCCUGAAAUCCAAAGGGAGGAGGGUACAGUGAGGCAUAUCCAACACCCAUUUCCUGUCGUGGUCUGAACUAGUGUUUCAGGUUAACCCUGGACUGCCCUUGGUCAAGAGCAGGGGUCCAUUCAGAUGGUGGGGGUGCUUAGAAUUUCAUUUUUGGUUUACACCACUGUGUCCUCUCCUGCCAGGGGAGGGACCCAGAGCUGGAGGCUUAGCCCUGGAGAUACCGGUGAAGAUGGAUGAAUGAGAAACCAGUUGGAGCUUCCAAGGUCUCUACCCACCCUCCAGACCUCCUCUGCUCCUGCCCCUGCCCUUUCAUUCCCAACUUCUGCUCUCCCAGCUCCCCUCCCACCCACAUGCUGUUCCCUCCUCUUCCAUCUUCCGCUUCCUGGGCCCAGAGACUGGGCAAGAUCCCCAGGGCUCUCCUUGCACAGGGAACCUCUCCCAGGGUGCAUAGCCUUGCUGCAAUCUUACACAGGGAAUACAUAAGCAAGGAAUACUUCUGUCCCUCUUGGACUCUGAAGCCAGAAGGCCAGGGCCUGGUUGGCCUCCUAACUGCUGUGUCCCAGGGCCAGAGCAGUGCCAGACACCCAGCAGUCUUAGCACCCACGAAAGCUGGAGGGACCCACACCUUCCCCAUCACUCAGUUGCAUCAGUCUAACGCAAUGGAUUUGGGCAGCUUGUGGUGGUUCACUGGCAGUUUAUUGGGGGACUUGAAGGAGUCAAGGUCAAGUGGGGGACUUCUGGGUGCCAGACCUGGCCCUUCCUUGGCCUGGGCUUGGGGUGUCCAAGCCCACAGAGCCAUGCAGGGGGAAAGAGCUAGGCAAGCAGGGUGGUUGAGGAGGUCAUUAGCGUGGCCUCGAGGGAAAACAAUUCCAAGAGGAGCCCAAAUUCGAAUGUCCCCUGGUGUCAUUGAGAAUGGAGAGAUUUAGGUUAUGAAUUGUGCAGUUGGUGGGUAGCAAGCCAGGGUCCUGAAGAUAGUCUGCAUAUCCCCUGGUGUCAUUGAGAAUGGAGAGGUUCAGGUUAUGAAUUGUGCAGUUGGGGGUAUCAAGCCAGGGUCCUGAAGAUAGUCUGCAUAUCCCCUGGUAUAUAUCAUUUAUAUAAGGAUGUUACUUAACUAUUGCUGUCUUCCAGAGGCAGCUUCUUGAACAAAUACUUGAGGUCCUAUAUAGGUUUACGGGAGUAAACUGUUUUCUCCAAGCAGGCCUGUCGUCCAUCAGGAGAAGCAAAAGGUUUUAUUCUAGAGACAAGUCCUUCCAACUGUACAGCUGAUGGAGUGGCCAAGGAAACCUGGUCUUUCCAGAGACACAUAGAAGGUGCCAUCUAUGAGGAACAGGCCUUCACCAGACAUCAAAUCUGUUGGCAUCUUGAUCUUUGACUUCUCCACCGCCAGAACUAGAUCAAGACAUGAAAUCCAUGUUCAAGAUACUUUCCAGUGUGUCUUCAUGUGAUCCUCUGAGUCCAGCCAUCAGGCUACCAGCAGCUCUUGGAAACCCUGACAUACUUAUUCUUAGAAGACUGCUUUCCGGACUCAAAGUGGAACCUCAAAUUUUCAAUUUUCUUUGUUUUUAAAGCCUACACAUAGGUGAUGAUAUAUACAUGCAUAUAUAUUUUGGAGAAUUCAUAAUUCUGAAAACAAUGCUG